rnacentral:rRNA from 1 species
AGUAAAAGUCGUAACAAGGUUUCCGUAGGUGAACCUGCGGAAGGAUCAUUACCUAGAGUUGUAGGCUUUGCCUGCUAUCUCUUACCCAUGUCUUUUGAGUACUUACGUUUCCUCGGCGGGUCCGCCCGCCGAUUGGACAAUUUAAACCAUUUGCAGUUGCAAUCAGCGUCUGAAAAACUUUAAUAGUUACAACUUUCAACAACGGAUCUCUUGGUUCUGGCAUCGAUGAAGAACGCAGCGAAAUGCGAUAAGUAGUGUGAAUUGCAGAAUUCAGUGAAUCAUCGAAUCUUUGAACGCACAUUGCGCCCCUUGGUAUUCCAUGGGGCAUGCCUGUUCGAGCGUCAUUUGUACCUUCAAGCUUUGCUUGGUGUUGGGUGUUUGUCUCGCCUUUGCGUGUAGACUCGCCUUAAAACAAUUGGCAGCCGGCGUAUUGAUUUCGGAGCGCAGUACAUCUCGCGCUUUGCACUCAUAACGACGACGUCCAAAAGUACAUUUUUACACUCUUGACCUCGGAUCAGGUAGGGAUACCCGCUGAACUUAAGCAUAUCAAUAAGCGGAGGAAAAGAAACCAACAGGGAUUGCCCC